rnacentral:rRNA from 1 species
GACGAACGCUGGCGGCGCGCCUAACACAUGCAAGUCGAACGAGCGAGAGAGAGCUUGCUUUCUCGAGCGAGUGGCGAACGGGUGAGUAACGCGUGAGGAACCUGCCUCAAAGAGGGGGACAACAGUUGGAAACGACUGCUAAUACCGCAUAAGCCCACGGCUCGGCAUCGAGCAGGGGGAAAAGGAGCAAUCCGCUUUGAGAUGGCCUCGCGUCCGAUUAGCUAGUUGGUGGGGUAACGGCCCACCAAGGCGACGAACGGUAGCCGGGCUGAAAGGUUGAACGGCCACAUUGGGACUGAGACACGGCCCAGACUCCUACGGGAGGCAGCAGUGGGGAAUAUUGCACAAUGGGGGAAACCCUGAUGCAGCGACGCCGCGUGGAGGAAGAAGGUCUUCGGAUUGUAAGCGCCUGUGGUUGGGGAAGAUAAUGACGGUACCCAACAAGGAAGUGACGGCUAACUACGUG